rnacentral:rRNA from 1 species
GGGGAAUCUUCCGCAAUGGACGAAAGUCUGACGGAGCAACGCCGCGUCAGUGAUGACGGCCUUCGGGUUGUAAAGCUCUGUUAAUCGGGACGAAAGGCCUUCUUGCGAAUAGUGAGAAGGAUUGACGGUACCGGAAUAGAAAGCCACGGCUAACUACGUGCCAGCAGCCGCGGUAAUACGUAGGUGGCAAGCGUUGUCCGGAAUUAUUGGGCGUAAAGCGCGCGCAGGCGGAUCGGUCAGUCUGUCUUAAAAGUUCGGGGCUUAACCCCGUGAUGGGAUGGAAACUGCCAAUCUAGAGUAUCGGAGAGGAAAGUGGAAUUCCUAGUGUAGCGGUGAAAUGCGUAGAUAUUAGGAAGAACACCAGUGGCGAAGGCGACUUUCUGGACGAAAACUGACGCUGAGGCGCGAAAGCCAGGGGAGCGAACGGGAUUAGAUACCCCGGUAGUCCUGGCCGUAAACGAUGGGUACUAGGUGUAGGAGGUAUCGACCCCUUCUGUGCCGGAGUUAACGCAAUAAGUACCCCGCCUAGGGAGUACGACCGCAAGGUUG